GUACAAAGGUAGCAUAAUCAUUAGUUUUUUAAUUGAAAGCUGGUAUGAAUGGCUGUAUAAGAAAGUUACUGUCUCUUUUUAAUUAAAUUGAAAUUUAUUUUUAAGUUAAAAAGCUUAAAUUUUAUAGAAAGACGAGAAGACCCUAUAGAGUUUAAUAGAUUACAAUUUUUAUAGUUUAGUUUUUAAAAUUGUUUAAAUUUAUAUUUAUUUUGUUGGGGUGACAUUAAAAUUUAAAAAACUUUUUGUACUAAAAUCAUUGAUUUAUGAGUUUAUGAUCCUAAAAUUUAGAUUAAAAGAAUAAAUUACCUUAGGGAUAACAGCGUAAUUUUUUUGGAGAGUUCUUAUCAAUAAAAAAGAUUGCGACCUCGAUGUUGGAUUAAAGUUAAUUACUGGUGCAGAAGCUAGAAAAUUGAGACUGUUCGAC
rnacentral:rRNA from 1 species